rnacentral:rRNA from 1 species
UCUGCCGUGAAAACCCAAGGCUCAACCUUGGGCGUGCGGUGGGUACGGGCAGGCUAGAGUGUGGUAGGGGAGACUGGAACUCCUGGUGUAGCGGUGAAAUGCGCAGAUAUCAGGAAGAACACCGAUGGCGAAGGCAGGUCUCUGGGCCAUUACUGACACUGAGAAGCGAAAGCAUGGGUAGCGAACAGGAUUAGAUACCCUGGUAGUCCAUGCCGUAAACGUUGGGCACUAGAUGUGGGGGACAUUCCACGUUUUCCGCGUCGUAGCUAACGCAUUAAGUGCCCCGCCUGGGGAGUACGGUCGCAAGGCUAAAACUCAAAGGAAUUGACGGGGGCCCGCACAAGCGGCGGAGCAUGCUGAUUAAUUCGAUGCAACGCGAAGAACCUUACCAAGGCUUGACAUGGACCGGACGGCUGCAGAAAUGUGGCUUUCUUCGGACUGGUUCACAGGUGGUGCAUGGUUGUCGUCAGCUCGUGUCGUGAGAUGUUGGGUUAAGUCCCGCAACGAGCGCAACCCUCGUUCUAUGUUGCCAGCGCGUUAUGGCGGGGACUCAUAGGAGACUGCCGGGGUCAACUCGGAGGAAGGUGAGGACGACGUCAAAUCAUCAUGCCCCUUAUGUCUUGGGCUUCAAGCAUGCUACAAUGGUCGGUACAAUGGGUUGCGAAACUGUGAGGUGGAGCGAAUCCCAAAAAGCCGGCCUCAGUUCGGAUUGGGGUCUGCAACUCGACCCCAUGAA